GCGCGAUUGAGCAGGGGUACAAUAGAGAGAGGAGAGAAAAAGAGGGAGGAGGAUAGGAUCCAUGAGAGACCUGUACCGCAUUACACGAAACGAACACAGGCACACACACACACUCAUGCACAGUACAUGCGACAUCAGAGCUGACACACAGCGGAGAGAGAAGGCGCGGAAACAGAAACAAAAACAUUUCCGCGGCCAAAAGACACACCAUACAGAAAACAACGAAUUAAACAAAUGGCUACACCCAGGAGGUCGGGUCUUCUGAACACCCUGGAGGUCGGCUCUUCUGAACACCCUGGAGGUCGGCUCUUCUGAACACCCUGGAGGUGGGUCUUCUGAACACCCUGGAGGUGGGUCUUCUGAACACCCUGGAGGUCGGCUCUUCUGAACACCCAGGUGUUUGGCUCUUCUGAACACCCUGUAGUUUUGGCCUGUUUUACAGUGUAUGGAGAAUUGACAAAAUUAAUUAAAGCUUAACUCUCAUUUAGUAAACCUGUAUAUUUUGGCCUCUAAAACCCAAUGUAUGUAAAGCUAUUUCUAAUAAAAUGUGUCAG
ensembl:lncRNA